GGUGCUUUACAAGGAUUCACCGGUGUGAUUUUCCCAGCCAGCCUAUGAAGUAGCUGCCAUUACAUCUUAAAUUUACAGAUGAUGAAACUGAGCCCCAGAGAAGUUAAACAACCUGCGCCAGGUGACAGAGCUAAUAAAUGGCUGACUCGGAUCCUUGACCAAGACUUAGCAAGUGGCAAGUGUUCAAUGUGGCUUUGACAGCCUCAUCAAUACCGGGCUUCGGUCAGCCACGAGAAAUCCAGCAGAGUUGCCGAGCAAGGUGAACACUGUCUUUGAUGCAGAAAAUACCUGGAAAUUCCUAGAGAAGGCUGUCUUUUUCCUCACCAGUAAAUCAAGGCAGAAGUGGACUAGAAGAAUUCUAUGAAGGAAGACACAUCCUGCUAAAGCCAGAGGUGCUUGCUGUCCAUCCCAACCUCAUUUGGAAUAUUUCUGUGGCUCAGAUUCAGUGAACUCCAAACACGUGGACCAGUGCUCCUGUGGCCAUCACACUACGUCAAGGGUGAAGUCUGUUAAAACAAAUGAAGGGAUUGUUACCCAGCAUCUUGUCGAGCAAGUAUGAUAAUCGGAAAAAAGAGGAGGUUGUUGAAGAAGUGUUCAGAAGAGAGUGGGACUUUGAAAAUGGAAGAUGGAUAAACUGCAAGAUGAUUCAUUACCAGCUAGAAAAAUAACCAACAUCCAGGACAGCAAUUCAGAGAGGAAGUUACGGAAAGAAUGGGCAUAAGAAGUUUGGAGUCACUGUGAUUAAAGGGGUCUUCCUGAGUGACAAGAGACCUUGUGCUCCAGACCGAAUGUUUUGCAGAGCCCUUGAUUGCUCCAGUUUUCUCAGACUCUGCUGAAGAAGUUCUGGCAUCUCUACCUCAUUUUACAGGCAAAGAAGACUCUUAAGCAGUGAGACACAGGGACUUGAAGAGGAAGUUACCAAUAUGCAUGGAAAUUGUCCCCUAAAGUGACCUCCCAGAAAAAAGGCACAGGAAUGGGAUACUGACGGUGUCUGCCACAGGUACAAGAUUUCUUUUUAUCUUAUUUAAAGCAUUUGUGAAGAUCUUUAUAAGUACAGCCAGAAUGCUUUCCAGAUAAGGUAAGCAAAACAAAGAUUUCUGUCACCAGAAUGAGUGUGAUCAACUCCCCACACUCACCAGGACAGAAUCUUAUCUUUUCUUUAUUUCACUACACUAAUAGACAAGAUAAUUUUAUUUGUCUUUUUACUGCCUGUCUUUGGUUCACAGUGAGGUCAUACUCAUUUAAAAAUAUUUGUUCACCAUUCAUUUCUUGCCUGUGAUUUCAUAUCUGUUGCCCAUUCUUCCAUUAGAUUCUUAGUAUUUCCCUUAUUGAUUUGAAUUAUCUCUUUUUACAUUAAGGAUAUAUUGGUCUGUAUUUUGUAGUAGCUGGUAUUUGGGGGGGGGCUGUGCCCACAACAAGUGGAAGUUCCCAGGCCAGGAAUGAACCCAUGCCACGGAUUGAACCCAUGCCACAGCAGUGACAAUAAGAAAUCCUUAAGCCUCUGAACCACCAGGAAACUCCUGGUAGGUAGUAUUUUAAAUUGUUUAUUCUUUUUUUUUUUUUUUUUUUUUCCUUUUUGCCAUUUCUUGGGCCACUCCCACGGCAUAUGGAGGCUCCCAUGAUAGGGGUCCAAUCGGAGCUGUAGCCACCAGCCUAUACCAGAGCCACAGCAACGCUGGAUCCGAGCUGAGUCUGCGAUCUACACCACAGCUCACGGCAACGCCAGAUCCUUAACCCACUGAGCAAGGGCAGGGACCGAACCCGCAACCUCAUGGUUCCUCGUCGGAUUCAUUAACCACUGUGCCACAACAGAAACUCCUUAAAUUGUUUAUUCUUUAAUGUGCAGAAUUACUUUUUAUUGCUGCAUAGUCAUUUGUAUUCAUCAUUGCCUUUAUGGUUUCUUCCAUAAAUCAUUUCUUUUUUACAUGUUUUACUUUCACAUGUAAAAAAGAGUAGCUAUCAAAUAGUUUUCUAAAAUGCUUAUGUUUUGGCUUUCAUAUUGAAUUUUUUUCAUUUUGGUACACAGUAUGAAGAAUGGCUCAAUUGAUUUUUUUAAAUCAGUUUCUUUAACACUAAUAAUUAGUGCAUUUUUUUAAAAUUGGGAAACGACAGUAAUGAGGAUGCAUGCUACAGAAGCAAAGGUUACACUAACUGCUUCUGCACAUGAAGAAAAAUGCAGAGCAAAGAGAAAAUGGCAGACUUCCAAGGUGGUAAAUAAGAAUCAAAGGAACUAAUUUCUCUUGUUUCCUCUAUGUAGGCUUGAAACAAUGGCAAAAAGAACUAAUAAAGUUGAAUACAAGUAGCCAGAAAUGAUUUUUGAUGUCCUGGGCCUAUCUAGAUAGUUCUGGGUCUCUUAACCAAGAUUUAAAGUUACUUAGAAAAAGUUGUUUUUGGUCAAAGUUCUUUGAUAAAACAAGAAUUAGAUUAGCAUACAUUAGAAAAGCUAACUGCAAG
rnacentral:lncRNA from 1 species